rnacentral:rRNA from 1 species
UGGGGCCCGCACAAGCGGCGGAGCAUGCGGAUUAAUUCGAUGCAACGCGAAGAACCUUACCAAGGCUUGACAUACACCGGUAACGCCCAGAGAUGGGUGCCCCUUUGUGGUCGGUGGACAGGUGGUGCAUGGUUGUCGUCAGCUCGUGUCGUGAGAUGUUGGGUUAAGUCCCGCAACGAGCGCAACCCUCGUCCUAUGUUGCCAGCGGGUCAUGCCGGGGACUCAUGGGAGACUGCCGGGGUCAACUCGGAGGAAGUGGGGAUGACGUCAAAUCAUCAUGCCCCUUAUGUCUUGGGCUUCACGCAUGCUACAAUGGCCGGUACAAAGGGCUGCGAUACCGCGAGGUGGAGCGAAUCCCAGAAAGCCGGUCUCAGUUCGGAUUGGGGUCUGCAACUCGACCCCAUGAAGUCGGAGUCGCUAGUAAUCGCAGAUCAGCAACGCUGCGGUGAAUACGUUCCCGGGCCUU